GACGAACCGUGCGAACGUUGUUCGGAUUCACUGGGCUUAAAGGGCGCGUAGGCGGACGGUCAAGUCAGGGGUGAAAUCUUUCAGCUCAACUGGAAAGUGCCCUUGAUACUGAUCGUCUCGAGGGAGGUAGGGGCAUGUGGAACUUCCGGUGGAGCGGUGAAAGCGUAGAUAUCGGAGGAACGCCGGUGGCGAAAGCGACGUGCUGGACCUCUUCUGACGCUGAGGCGCGAAAGCUAGGGGAGCGAACGGG
rnacentral:rRNA from 1 species